rnacentral:rRNA from 2 species
GCUAAUACCGGAUAAUCUUCAUGUUUAACUUCAUGGGGUAAAGGUGGCCUCUGCUUGCAAGCUACCACAUCAGGAUGAGCCCGCGUCUCAUUAGCUAGUUGGUGGGGUAACGGCCUACCAAGGCGACGAUGAGUAGCUGGUCUGAGAGGAUGACCAGCCACACUGGGACUGGAACACGGCCCAGACUCCUACGGGAGGCAGCAGUGGGGAAUAUUGCGCAAUGGGCGAAAGCCUGACGCAGCGACGCCUCGUGAGGGAUGAAGGUCUUCGGAUCGUAAACCUCUGUCAAGAGGGAAGAAACCAUUGGAGUCGAAUAGGCUUCUU